rnacentral:piRNA from 1 species
UGAUUAUGAAAAUAAACUUGGAUUAGAA